rnacentral:rRNA from 1 species
UACGGAGGGUGCAAGCGUGAUCCGGAUUCACUGGGUUUAAAGGGUGCGUAGGCGGACAUUUAAGUCAGUGGUGAAAUCCUGCAGCUUAACUGCAGAACUGCCAUUGAUACUAUUUGUCUUGAAUGUCGUGGAGGUCAGCGGAAUAUGUCAUGUAGCGGUGAAAUGCUUAGAUAUGACAUAGAACACCUAUUGCGAAGGCAGCUGACUACGCGAAUAUUGACGCUGAGGCACGAAAGCGUGGGGAUCAAACAGG